rnacentral:rRNA from 2 species
AUUGUGGCGAACGGGUGAGUAACACGUGGGCAAUCUGCCCUGCACUCUGGGACAAGCCCUGGAAACGGGGUCUAAUACCGGAUACUGAUCCUCGCAGGCAUCUGUGAGGUUCGAAAGCUCCGGCGGUGCAGGAUGAGCCCGCGGCCUAUCAGCUAGUUGGUGAGGUAAUGGCUCACCAAGGCGACGACGGGUAGCCGGCCUGAGAGGGCGACCGGCCACACUGGGACUGAGACACGGCCCAGACUCCUACGGGAGGCAGCAGUGGGGAAUAUUGCACAAUGGGCGAAAGCCUGAUGCAGCGACGCCGCGUGAGGGAUGACGGCCUUCGGGUUGUAAACCUCUUUCAGCAGGGAAGAAGCGAAAGUGACGGUACCUGCAGAAGAAGCGCCGGCUAACUACGUGCCAGCAGCCGCGGUAAUACGUAGGGCGCAAGCGUUGUCCGGAAUUAUUGGGCGUAAAGAGCUCGUAGGCGGCUUGUCACGUCGGUUGUGAAAGCCCGGGGCUUAACCCCGGGUCUGCAGUCGAUACGGGCAGGCUAGAGUUCGGUAGGGGAGAUCGGAAUUCCUGGUGUAGCGGUGAAAUGCGCAGAUAUCAGGAGGAACACCGGUGGCGAAGGCGGAUCUCUGGGCCGAUACUGACGCUGAGGAGCGAAAGCGUGGGGAGCGAACAGGAUUAGAUACCCUGGUAGUCCACGCCGUAAACGGUGGGCACUAGGUGUGGGCAACAUUCCACGUUGUCCGUGCCGCAGCUAACGCAUUAAGUGCCCGCUGGGGAGUACGGCGCAAGGCUAAACUCAAAGGAUUGACGGGGGCCCGCACAAGCGGCGGAGCAUGUGGCUUAAUUCGACGCAACGCGAAGAACCUUACCAAGGCUUGACAUACACCGGAAAACCCUGGAGACAGGGUCCCCCUUGUGGUCGGUGUACAGGUGGUGCAUGGCUGUCGUCAGCUCGUGUCGUGAGAUGUUGGGUUAAGUCCCGCAACGAGCGCAACCCUUGUCCCGUGUUGCCAGCAGGCCCUUGUGGUGCUGGGGACUCACGGGAGACCGCCGGGGUCAACUCGGAGGAAGGUGGGGACGACGUCAAGUCAUCAUGCCCCUUAUGUCUUGGGCUGCACACGUGCUACAAUGGCCGGUACAAUGAGCUGCGAUACCGCGAGGUGGAGCGAAUCUCAAAAAGCCGGUCUCAGUUCGGAUUGGGGUCUGCAACUCGACCCCAUGAAGUCGGAGUCGCUAGUAAUCGCAGAUCAGCAUUGCUGCGGUGAAUACGUUCCCGGGCCUUGUACACACCGCCCGUCACGUCACGAAAGUCGGUAACACCCGAAGCCGGUGGCCCAACCCCCGUGGGAGG